GACGAACGCUGGCGGCGUGCUUAACACAUGCAAGUCGAACGGAAAGGCCCUGCUUUUGUGGGGUGCUCGAGUGGCGAACGGGUGAGUAACACGUGAGUAACCUGCCCUUGACUUUGGGAUAACUUCAGGAAACUGGGGCUAAUACCGGAUAGGAGCUCCUGCUGCAUGGUGGGGGUUGGAUAGUUUCGGCGGUUGGGGAUGGACUCGCGGCUUAUCAGCUUGUUGGUGGGGUAGUGGCUUACCAAGGCUUUGACGGGUAGCCGGCCUGAGAGGGUGACCGGCCACAUUGGGACUGAGAUACGGCCCAGACUCCUACGGGAGGCAGCAGUGGGGAAUAUUGCACAAUGGGCGGAAGCCUGAUGCAGCAACGCCGCGUGCGGGAUGACGGCCUUCGGGUUGUAAACCGCUUUCGCCUGUGACGAAGCGUGAGUGACGGUAAUGGGUAAAGAAGCACCGGCUAACUACGUG
rnacentral:rRNA from 1 species